GACGAACGCUGGCGGCGUGCCUAAUACAUGCAAGUUGAGCGAUGAAGAUUGGUGCUUGCACCAAUUUGAAGAGCAGCGAACGGGUGAGUAACGCGUGGGGAAUCUGCCUUUGAGCGGGGGACAACAUUUGGAAACGAAUGCUAAUACCGCAUAACAACUUUAAACAUAAGUUUUAAGUUUGAAAGAUGCAAUUGCAUCACUCAAAGAUGAUCCCGCGUUGUAUUAGCUAGUUGGUGAGGUAAAGGCUCACCAAGGCGAUGAUACAUAGCCGACCUGAGAGGGUGAUCGGCCACAUUGGGACUGAGACACGGCCCAAACUCCUACGGGAGGCAGCAGUAGGGAAUCUUCGGCAAUGGACGAAAGUCUGACCGAGCAACGCCGCGUGAGUGAAGAAGGUUUUCGGAUCGUAAAGCUCUGUUGGUAGAGAAGAACGUUGGUGAGAGUGGAAAGCUCAUCAAGUGACGGUAACUACCCAGAAAGGGACGGCUAACUACGUG
rnacentral:rRNA from 1 species